ACAUGCCUACAACAUAGCAUUAAUGCACCAGAUCCCAUUAGAACUCCACAGUUAAGUGCGCUCAGGCUAAAGUAGUACUGGGAUGGGUGACCUCCAGGGAAGUCCUAGUGUUUUACAUGCC
rnacentral:rRNA from 1 species